UGAAAAAGCGACCUCACUCCCGCCCCUGGCCCCUGCAGUGGAAUUGGGGGCAGAGCAGCUCCCCAACAUGCUCCCAGGCCUGCAGUCUCUGAAACAGAAUCCCAGUCCCUCAACCUCAGACCCCUCAGGUCGCGUUUUCCGUAAUAACCUUUAAUGCGGCUGGCCACGGCCCAAAUGCUCGCGAUGGAGCGCUGGGCCCCGCGCAUCAGAUGGACGAUGAAGUGUUAAUCAUCCCCCAGGGAGCCGUCCUGCGGAAAGUCGUCAUUAAUUUCUCUGAAUUACAC
rnacentral:lncRNA from 1 species